UAAAGUUUGCUUCAUGUUACUCCAGGACAUGAGUGACGGCUGCUCCGAUGCAAAAUGUUCACAAGGCCUCUUUACAAUGAACCUGUCACGGUAACAUCAGUUCUGAUGUCUUGAACAAAAAAAAAUCAAAAUAUCUUGGACUUAACAUGGGAUCAAUCGAAACUUGCCAUGAGAAAAGCACAUGCAAAAGCUUUAUAUGGUCUCUUUUAUUGGGAAGUGUGAGGACCAUAUUACUUUCGUAGUCGGAACCUUCGAAAGCUGUGGUGGGUUGCAGUUUCGCAGCUCGCAUUGCUCAACAAAACACACCACACACUUUGACUGAUAUGUUUUGGCUAUUGAAGCUUUGCAGCAUAGUUAGGCGGCGCUCCUAGAAACGAUCCGUGAGGGCAGUCUUCUUCAUUGCAAAUCGUUUUGGAGUAUGGAUCCGAGGUUGAGCUGUGAAAGGUUUGAUGCCUCAUACGCAUGUCUUAUGAGGUUGUUGGCGGGUUGAUGGAGGGUUUAAGGAAUGACGCUGUUUGAUCUCGGCGUUUCUCUCUUCUACAGCCCUAGUGCUGAGAUGUUGGUGGGGGUAUUAUGGGAACUCCCGAUUUCAUGAAUGUUAUUCCACUACCGAUCAGUGGAGCUACUCUUUGCCCGUUUUCUUUGUCAUCUUCGUUUUCAAUUACCGUAUUCUCGUUAUGGGAGCAAGAGUAUGGCAGUAUAGAAAGAAGACAGGAAGUUGCGGACAUUCAUCAAGACGUGGAUAACGGCUGUGGCGCACUCCACCCAGUUCAUCGUUUAUUUGAGAAGGGAACGAGAAGGCUUAGCCAAAUUUUGGCUGGCCCUUAACAAAUUAGAUGCAUAGUCAGGUAGAGAUGGACAUGGUAACCUCUUGUUGAUCUUACGAUACGCUUGCAAUGGGUGACAUCGGUGUGCUAGUCAAGUGCCCUUGAAUAGAGUUCUGAGUCAAGAAUGUGCACCCAAAAUCGCGUGCUCACUGUCUCGCACGCAACGUCGAUCGUCGAAUCAGUCAUAUAGUGUCACUUACAAUCAAUUUAAUUACCCUAUUUGCUAGAUUGUAGCAGUGUCUUCGAAACAACUGGAUUGGUAUUGGAGCCGUGCAUUGUGCACGGUCUGAUAUUGAACCAAAAACUUCUAGGGUUUUAAUCACACUUGUUUCAAACUCUUUUACAAACGCUAUCAAUGUUGGCUGGUGGGGCUUGGAUAAAUUAGACGAUGGGGUAGUUUAUCUCACGAUGUUUCAAGUAACAGUUAGUUCAAAGAGAGUCUAAACCAUUGAGUUGAUUCUUAAAGGAGCUUUAGGAGAGUCGCAGGAGACCACUUCAGCUAGAUUCGAAAUUGCAAUAUCAAAACUAGAUCUCUUUGGGAAAGAAGCUUUGGAUUUUGCUGAUCAUAGUUUGGCUCAAGUGAUAACCCUAAUAUAAGAAAAGUUCGUGAUACUAAUGGAUUAUGUUAUCCUUGUCAUAUUAAUCAACUUGGUGUGAUGUCUCUGAUGUCAUCACUGAAGUCUCUAUCAGAGCAAUGUUCUUCAUGCAAUAUCAUUCACGCUCUCGCAGGGCCGAUCGGAGAGUUUCCUACCGGCCUGAGAGCCACGCGGAGAGAAUCAUUCGGCUUGAAACCAGCGCAGAUAUUGCUGCAUGUCGGUCGUGCCAUUCAACUGUUGGCGAUGUACACUCAAAUUUAAACCAAAAGAUUUUCAAUUUUGGAUUUUUCCUCAGUUUGGACUUUUGGGUUCCUGGUUACAGAUUUCGGGUGUUACCAAUCGGCGAAUUGAUGCCACUAUUCAUUUGUCACGGUUAUGCUUGCUCCCUGCCAAAUCAUAUGGAGAAAUUUCAGGUGUACUGGAGAAAAAUAUCCGUAUGCAGCCUCCCCUAGUCGGGAUCUCCUUACUCUGAUUCUUCUACCUACGCCCAUUACUUUGCGGGACGUGAGAUCCUUUUGCAAGACAGACGACGCCAGGUGGUGCACCGAGGAUGCAUUGAUCGCACCAGCAAAAUCAGGGAUCCGUAAAAUCCUGGUCACCGCUCUUUGUGUCUACUUGCCUAGUGAUCAAGCGGCUCAGUUGAUGCUGCUCCAACACUGGACUUGGUGCCUCGCAGCUGGAUCCUCCGCUCGCCACUCGUCAUUCCUUUAAGAUUCUGUUAUGUUGGGUGCCAUUGCUUGCAAGUGUGGUGCACAGUUGCAGCAUGGAGCGAGCCCAUAGCUGGUUGCUGCAGCGGCUUUGGCUUCAGCUUUGCUGAGGUUGCUACGGGUGGAUUGUCUCUGCCUAGUCAGAGCCAGCAUUCAGGUAGGGAUUGGUGAAGUCCCUUCCUUUUGCCUCCCUUUCUUCCUUGCUGUGCUUGUAACUUGUUGCUGUGCCUUAUCUAUUGCUUCUAAUCUUUUGUUUGUUUACAUGUGUGUUUAUAUAUACAUAUAUAUAUAUAUAUAUACACAUGUGCGUGUGUGUAUAUAUGUAUACAUGUAUGUACACACACACAUGUGUGUGGAUCUCUGUGUAUGUAUCUGUUAAGGAGGCUGGAUCUAAUGUUGAUUUUUCUUUUUGCAUCUUUUUAUACCGGGUUUCGCAUUUGAUUCAACCACUUAAGCAUCUCUUCUCGAUUGACCUUCAAUUCAAAGGUGGCUCAUCUAAGAACGUUGUGUUUGGAUGUCUGGUUUUGUAACUGGUGCAAAACUCGUGGAGGAGUUUAGCUAUGAACACAGAUUUUGCAUGUUAAUUGGCACUGCCGUUAUUUUAGAGGCUUUUGUUUAAGGAUGUAUGCAUGCAAAUAUAUUUAUAUAUAUAUAUAUAUAUAUAUACAACUA